rnacentral:piRNA from 1 species
UUUUUGUGUAAAUAUCCCAAU